rnacentral:tRNA from 1 species
GUUUCCAAAGUGUAGUGGUUAUUACGUGUGUCUUACUUGUAAAAGCUACCCAGUUCGAAACUGGGCGGAAAAA